UAAUACCAGUCCAAGAUGCACGCACUGUGUCGAUGAUCUUUUGGGAGGAUUAGGUCUGUUGGAGUGUAGUGGAAGUGUAGAUCGCAGAAUGAAUUCCCUUACGAUUGCUAUUUUGGUUAUGCUAUAGCAGGGAGGGAAGGAUGACGGAGUCGCCUGUGGUUUCGAUUGGAGCAUGGUAGCGAGGGAAUUCCUCAACACUGUUACAGCACGGAGGAUCUUGUGGAAAUUUCGGUUCGCUGCCGGGAGAAGGGUGUGUCUCAAUCUCUUUGACAGGUUUGCGAAAAGCGAGGGUGUAGAGAGAGUCAAGGCUGUGAUCGUAGGUUAAGUCUGCGUCGAUGUUAACGGACAUCGUCAAGUAUAUGUACUGCGGAGCUGAUGAUAUGAAUGCACAGCAACCCGACGCAGUUGGUGUCGAUGUUAAGUUGUGGCUUAUUUGAAGCGAGGAAGUUCGAAGUGGUUCAAAAGACACUUCCUUCAUCAUUAGCAGGGUUAGAUUAGAUGUGCUCAAAGUUACCUUCUGGUGAGGAGACUUGAAUUUCGGUGGAGAUUUUAAAUUAAUUGUUAGAUCAGUAACUUCGUUUCAAUAGAAACUUGAUUUCGACUGUGAUUAUAGGUCAUUCUGGAGUUAUUUGAACCACCUCGAUGACCAUGGGGGGAGAGAAACGACCUCUUGAUAGGGAUCCUUCGAAAGAUGGCAUAUCGGACAAUAAACGUCUUCGAUCGCAGCCUGCCAGUAUCAUAGCGGAGGCUGUGAAAGGGGAUAGCCUGCAGAAACUGUGCUCAAGUUUGGAGCCUAUGCUUCGACGUAUUGUUGCUGAGGAAGUUGAACGUGUUCUUGCUAAGCUCGCUCCUCCAACAUUGGGAAUUCGACCCUCACCUGAAAGGAUUCAAGGCCUAGACCAAAAACAUUUACGGUUGGAAUUCAGGAAUAAGCUAGCUCUUCCUCUUUUCACUGGGAGCAAAGUUGAGGGAGAGCAAGGUUUGACAAUUCACGUUGUUCUACAGCAUGCCGGCACCGGCCAAGUUGUUACCACUGGUCCAGAGGCUUACGCCAAGCUGGACAUUGUAGUUUUAGAAGGCGAUUUCACAGCAGAGGACGAGGACACUUGGACUCGGGAAGAGUUUGAAAAUUUUGAGGUCAGAGAGAGAGACGGGAAAAGGCCACUUCUUACUGGAGACCUUACUGUCACUUUAAAGGAUGGAGUGGGUACUUUGGGAGAGUUGACGUUUACAGAUAAUUCUAGUUGGAUUCGCAGUCGCAAGUUCCGACUUGGCGUGAAAGUUGCAUCUGGAUUUUGUGAGGGAUUGCGAAUUCGAGAAGCCAAGACUGAGGCCUUUACCGUGAAGGAUCACCGUGGAGAGCUGUACAAGAAACAUUACCCGCCAGCCCUGACUGAUGAGGUUUGGCGGUUGGAUAAAAUUGGCAAGGACGGUGCUUUUCACAAGCGUCUCAAUCAAUCUCGUAUUAUGACAGUCGAGGAUUUUCUGCGCUUGGUUGUCAUGGAUCCUCUAAAGCUGCGGAACAUUUUGGGAAAUGGUAUGUCGAACAAGAUUUGGGAAGGCACGGUGGAGCAUGCGAAGACUUGCGUUUUGAGUGGAAAGUUACACGUAUACUAUGCCGACGAGAAGCAGAAUAUUGGCGUUAUAUUUAACAACAUCUUUCAGCUAAUGGGGCUUAUUGCUGAUGGUUCGUACAUGUCGGUGGAUUCUCUCUCUGACAGUGAGAAGGUUUAUGUGGAUAAACUAGUAAAAGUAGCAUAUGAGAACUGGGAGAAUGUGGUGGAGUACGAUGGAGAGGCUUUGGUCGGUGUGAAGCCGUUACAUCAAGCAAAAGGGUUCGAUACUCGCACUGAGGACCCACUGGGUGGACGCAAAGUAUCCAGUAUGUCCAAUAUUUCCAAUAUCCACUCCCAAGAUAGCGCAGGUAGUGGUAGCGGGUCAAGAUCGGAGUCUCUUUCGUACGGACAGGAACCAAUAAAUAUGGCUCCACGAUCAUUUCCUGGUUCUAUUGGUCAGCUUCCAGAUAACCAGAGUAUCACGGGACCCGUCCUGCAAAUGAAUAGCAGCACUGAGACUUAUCAUCAACUUGUUUUGCCGAAUCCUCUCGAGAAUUCACUGCUUGCAGGGCACACUGGGCUAACCGGUCUAGCUCUGGGUCCCUCUCAAAGUAGCACGACAUCGUCAAGCUCGGGCAUGAAUGCCUUGGAUCCCACUCUGAUGAAUGCUUCUACUUCAGGCACAAGUGAUUGGCGGCGGCGGCAGCAGCAGCAGCAGGAGGAAGAGGGAGAGCAGCGACAGCAGCAGCAGCAAUCUCGGCCCAACCUUCAACGGCAGGAGAGUCUUGGCAGAAUUUUUCCAACUGAAGAUGAAAUUCGUUCCCAAAGCUUGGAGCUUUUAGACAGUGAGGACAUGCAAACACAGAUUCAGCAGCUGCUCCGUCUGUAUAAUGGACAGAUGGGCGGCAUGCCAUUUAGUCCGUAUGGUCCCAUGACUGAUGAUACAUUUCCUCUUUUUGGGUUACCAGUUGCAGGUGAAGAGGCUGUGGAUGAGCACAAGCCCCGACCAAAUGGCAAGGCAUAUGUGAGCUGGUUGAAGUUGAAAGCGGCAUUGCAUUGGGGCAUUUUCAUUCGGAAACAAGCAGCUGCAAGGAGGGCCCAGCUGGAAGAGGCUGAUGAACAGGAGUGAUUAACCCGGUUCUACACCAGUUGGUAGUGCUGAUUCCAUGGAGGUAUCAGGUCCUUCGGAUCAACAAUUCGUCCUGUCGAUCCUUCCAUCCCUCUUUGGUGCCCCUCAAGCCACUUCAAAGUCUGCGUAUAUGCGGUGAUUAGCAGCUAUGCUUCCUGCCAGCAAGCCGCCGAUGAAUUUUGCAGGUAAAACAGCUUGGAUUUGCUAGUUUUGGAGUAUGAGGUAGAUUAUUGUGCCCGACGCAUGGACUUGUACACAUGUUAUGCAGCAAAUUGGAGGGAGGAAUGCAACAAUUGGAACAGAAGCAAGUGUUACAAUAGCUUCAAAAAUAUAGCUUCCUCAUGUUGACCUUUGUUGACCUUUGAAGGGCAGCCAUUUUUUUCAAGAGAUGUGUAACAAUGGAAAUAUAGAGAGUAAUUAAUGUUACUCAUUAGUUUAAAUCACUGGUAUGAUAAAUGUAGGAUUAUAUUAAAUCCUUUUUUUCUUUUCUUUUUUCUUUUCCUUUUUGAUUCAUGUUCUACUAGGUGGGAAUUUUGAGUAGCUAAGUGGAGGUUUUGAAAUAUAUAUUUGUAUACAUUCAAAAUUAUAUAAUAAGAUAUUAUUUUCUUGUUGUUUUUUGUUUGGACAA